GGUUAAGCGACUAAGCGUACACGGUGGAUGCCCUGGCAGUCAGAGGCGAUGAAGGACGUGCUAAUCUGCGAAAAGCGCCGGCGAGGUGAUAUGAACCCUUGACCCGGCGAUGUCCGAAUGGGGAAACCCAGUGUGUUCCGACACACUAUCGUUAACUGAAUACAUAGGUUAACGAGGCGAACCGGGGGAACUGAAACAUCUAAGUACCCCGAGGAAAAGAAAUCAACCGAGAUUCCCCCAGUAGCGGCGAGCGAACGGGGAGCAGCCCGGAGUCUGAAUCAGCUUGUGUGUUAGUGGAACGGUCUGGAAAGUCCGACGGUACAGGGUGAUAGUCCCGUACACGAAAACACACUUGCUGUGAACUCGAAGAGUAGGGCGGGACACGUGGUAUCCUGUCUGAAUAUGGGGGGACCAUCCUCCAAGGCUAAAUACUCCUGACUGACCGAUAGUGAACCAGUACCGUGAGGGAAAGGCGAAAAGAACCCCGGCGAGGGGAGUGAAAAAGAACCUGAAACCGUGUACGUACAAGCAGUGGGAGCCUCUUUAUGGGGUGACUGCGUACCUUUUGUAUAAUGGGUCAGCGACUUAUAUUCUGUAGCAAGGUUAACCGUAUAGGGGAGCCGAAGGGAAACCGAGUCUUAACUGGGCGUUAAGUUGCAGGGUAUAGACCCGAAACCCGGUGAUCUAGCCAUGGGCAGGUUGAAGGUUGGGUAACACUAACUGGAGGACCGAACCGACUAAUGUUGAAAAAUUAGCGGAUGACCUGUGGCUGGGGGUGAAAGGCCAAUCAAACCGGGAGAUAGCUGGUUCUCCCCGAAAGCUAUUUAGGUAGCGCCUCGUGAACUCAUCUUCGGGGGUAGAGCACUGUUUCGGCUAGGGGGCCAUCCCGGCUUACCAACCCGAUGCAAACUACGAAUACCGAAGAAUGUUAUCACGGGAGACACACGGCGGGUGCUAACGUCCGUCGUGAAGAGGGAAACAACCCAGACCGCCAGCUAAGGUCCCAAAGUCAUGGUUAAGUGGGAAACGAUGUGGGAAGGCACAGACAGCCAGGAUGUUGGCUUAGAAGCAGCCAUCAUUUAAAGAAAGCGUAAUAGCUCACUGGUCGAGUCGGCCUGCGCGGAAGAUGUAACGGGGCUAAACCAUGCACCGAAGCUGCGGCAGCGACACUAUGUGUUGUUGGGUAGGGGAGCGUUCUGUAAGCCGUUGAAGGUGUGCUGUGAGGCAUGCUGGAGGUAUCAGAAGUGCGAAUGCUGACAUAAGUAACGAUAAAGCGGGUGAAAAGCCCGCUCGCCGGAAGACCAAGGGUUCCUGUCCAACGUUAAUCGGGGCAGGGUGAGUCGACCCCUAAGGCGAGGCCGAAAGGCGUAGUCGAUGGGAAACAGGUUAAUAUUCCUGUACUUGGUGUUACUGCGAAGGGGGGACGGAGAAGGCUAUGUCAGCCGGGCGACGGUUGUCCCGGUUUAAGCAUGUAGGCGGAGGUUCCAGGUAAAUCCGGUACCUUUUAACGCUGAGGUGUGAUGACGAGGCACUACGGUGCUGAAGUGAUAAAUGCCCUGCUUCCAGGAAAAGCCUCUAAGCAUCAGGUAACACGAAAUCGUACCCCAAACCGACACAGGUGGUCAGGUAGAGAAUACCAAGGCGCUUGAGAGAACUCGGGUGAAGGAACUAGGCAAAAUGGUGCCGUAACUUCGGGAGAAGGCACGCUGAUA
rnacentral:rRNA from 1 species